rnacentral:lncRNA from 1 species
ACUCACCCCCCCCAUUCUCCACCUUCACCCCCUUGCCACCCAUCUCCUUUGAGAUAAAAGAAAAAAGGCUAAGUUUUUUCUCCUCCUGAGUUCUUCAUAUGAGAUUGAGCUUGCAAAGUCCGCCGUGAUCGCCGCGGCCGCCGCGCAGAGCGGCGCGGCUCCGCAUUACCACCACCACCACCACCACCACCACGCCGCCAGCCACCACCACCACCCGACGGCCGGCGCACCGGGCGCCGCGGGCAGCGCGUCCGCCUCGGCCGGGGCGCGGGCGGCUCGGGCGGCGGCUCAGGCGGCCCGGCCAGCGCCGGGGCGGCGGCGGCGGAGGAGGAGGCGGCGGCGGGGGCGCAGCGGGGGCGGGGGGCGCCCUGCACCCUCAUCACGCCGCGGCCGGCGGCCUGCACUUCGACGACCGCUUCUCCGACGAGCAGCUGGUGACCAUGUCGGUGCGCGAGCUGAACCGGCAGCUGCGCGGGGUCAGCAAGGAGGAGGUGAUUCGGCUGAAGCAGAAAAGGCGGACCCUGAAAAACCGCGGCUAUGCCCAGUCCUGCCGCUUCAAGAGGGUGCAGCAGAGGCACGUCCUGGAGUCCGAGAAGAACCAGCUGCUGCAGCAGGUCGACCACCUCAAGCAGGAGAUCUCCAGGCUGGUGCGCGAGAGGGACGCGUACAAGGAGAAGUACGAGAAGCUAGUGAGCAGCGGCUUCCGAGAAAACGGCUCGAGCAGCGACAACCCGUCCUCUCCCGAGUUUUUCAUGUACCCAAGGGAAUCCUCUACAUCAGUGAUGUGAAAAAUCCUGUUGCCCGAAGUCAAAGAGAUGUUCCUGAUAUUCUCUCAGACCCACCCGGAUGCAUCCGAGCCUUAACAGAGCUGCCCUGGGGCAGGGCAGGUGGGACACACACAGGGGAGAGGCCUGUUUGUAGCUUUCCCGUCACUCGUGGGAGAUUCCUGAUGGAAUUCAUACAAACAGCUCUGCCCCAGGUUCUAAGUACCCAUCAGUUUUUCUUUCUUCCUAAUCUUACAGUUAGCUGGGUGGAAAAUGUUUUAUCCUGA